rnacentral:snoRNA from 1 species
UCAUCAGGUGGGAUAAUCCGUACCUGUUCCUAGUUUUGGAGGGCAGGUAGAACAUGAUAAUUGGAGUUUGCACGAUCCAUGAUUAAUGUCUCUGUAUAAUCAGGACUUGCAAACCCUGAUUGUUUGUAUCUGAU